rnacentral:rRNA from 1 species
UUAAGCUAAGAAGAGCGUAGGGAGAAUGCCUUGGCAUUAGGAGCCGACGAAGGACGUGAUAAGCUGCGAUAAGCUGCGGGGAUCAGCAAGUAUGAAUUGAUCCGCAGAUUUCCGAAUGGAGCAAUCCGUAUGUGUAUGCACAUACAUCAUAUACUGAAUCAAAUAGGUAUAUGAGGGGAACCGCCUGAACUGAAACAUCUAAGUAGGGCGAGGAAGAGAAAUCAACCGAGAUUCUGUGAGUAGUGGCGAGCGAAAGCGGAAGAGGCUAAACCAUAGGUAGCAAUACUUAUGGGGUUUCGGACAGCAUUUAGCAUUGAUAAUUUCUAGUUGAAACGUGUGGGAAAACGUACCGAAGAGUGUGAGAGUCACGUAAGCGAAAGAGAAAGUCAGCGAGCUGUAUCCAAAGUACCGCGGGACACGUGAAACCCCGUGGGAAGAUGGGGGGACCAUCCUCCAAGCCUAAAUACUACCUAAUGACCGAUAGCGAAUAGUACUGUGAAGGAACGGUGAAAAGAACCCCGGGAGGGGAGUGAAAAAGAACCUGAAACCCUAUGCUUACAAGCACCGAGAGCACGUCAAAGUGUGAUCGGGUACCUUUUGUAGAAUGGUCCGGCGAGUUAUUGUAUGCGGCAAGGUUAAGUGCUUAAGGCACGGAGCCGAAGCGAGAGCAAGUCUGAAUAGGGCGAAAAAGUCGUAUGCAAUAGACCCGAAACCGAGUGACCUAUCCAUGUCCAGGCUGAAGUGGAGGUAAAACUCCAUGGAGGGCCGAACACACGUCCGUUGAAAAGGCCGGUGAUGAGGUGUGGAUAGCGGAGAAAUUCCAAUCGAACUCGGAUAUAGCUGGUUCUCUCCGAAAUAGCUUUAGGGCUAGCCUCGUGAAAGAUUACUGGAGGUAAAGCACUGAAUGGGCUAGGGGUCGAAAGAUUACUGAACCCUAUCAAACUAAGAAUGCCAGAUAAUUGAUUCACGGGAGUCAGACAAUGUGAGAUAAGUCUCAUUGUCAAAAGGGAAACAGCCCAGACCCACAGCUAAGGUCCCUAAACAUUGUUAAGUGGAAAAGGAUGUGGGGUUGCAUAAACAACCAGGAUGUUGGCUUAGAAGCAGCCACUCAUUAAAAGAGUGCGUAAUAGCUCACUGGUCGAGUGACCCUGCGCCGAAAAUUCAACGGGGCUAAACAAUGUACCGAAGCUUGGGAUUCUAAAGUAAUUUAGAGUGGUAGGAGAGCGUCGAAUAAGGGGUGAAGUCAGAGCGGAAGCGCUGGUGGACUUUAUUCGAGUGAGAAUGCCGGAAUGAGUAGCGAGAAUUAUGUGAGAAUCAUAAUGGCCGAAAAUCUAAGGUUUCCUGAGGAAGGUUCGUCCGCUCAGGGUAAGCCGGGGGCUAAGGCGAGGCGGAGACGCGUAGCCGAUGCACAUACGGUUGAAAUUCCGUAGCCACCGAAAGAUUUAAGUACAGGGACGCUUUAGAAGUGAUGUUGCCGGGCGAUGGUUGACCCGGUCGUAAGGGAUCGAAAAUGAGUAGAGAAGUCAUCAUGGAAAGAGACAAGAAAAGCUGUAUGAAUAUCUUAGGUGCCCGUACCGCAAACCGACACAGGUAGAUAGGAAGAAGAUUCUAAGGCCAACGGGAGAAGGGUUGUUAAGGAACUCGGCAAGUUGACCCCGUAACUUAGGGAUAAGGGGUGCUCAAGUGAUUGAGCCGCAGAGAAUAGGCCCAGGCGACUGUUUAGCAAAAACGCAGGUCUCUGCUAAAUCGAAAGAUGACGUAUAGGGGCUGACACCUGCCCGGUGCCGGAAGGUUAAGAGGAGAUGUGAGAGCAUUGAAUUGAAGCCCCGGUAAACGGCGGCCGUAACUAUAACGGUCCUAAGGUAGCGAAAUUCCUUGUCAGGUAAGUUCUGACCCGCACGAAAGG